rnacentral:tRNA from 1 species
GGGCGCAUAGCUCAGACGGUAGAGCAGCUGACUCUUAAUCAGCGGGUCGCAGGUUCGAGUCCUGCUGCGCCCA